AUUGAACGCUGGCGGCAUGCCUUACACAUGCAAGUCGAACGGCAGCACGGGAGCAAUCCUGGUGGCGAGUGGCGAACGGGUGAGUAAUAUAUCGGAACGUGCCCAGUAGUGGGGGAUAGCCCGGGGAAAGCCGGAUUAAUACCGCAUGCGACUUGAGGGUGAAAGCGGGGGAUCGCAAGACCUCGCGCUAUUGGAGCGGCCGAUAACAGAUUAGCUAGUUGGUGGGGGAAAGGCCUACCAAGGCAACGAUCUGUAGUUGGUCUGAGAGGACGACCAGCCACACUGGGACUGAGACACGGCCCAGACUCCUACGGGAGGCAGCAGUGGGGAAUUUUGGACAAUGGGCGCAAGCCUGAUUCAGCAAUGCCGCGUGCAGGAAGAAGGCCUUCGGGUUGUAAACUGCUUUUGUCAGGGAAGAAAUCGCUUGGGAUAAUACCCCGGGGGGAUGACGGUACCUGAAGAAUAAGCACCGGCUAACUACGUGCCAGCCGCCGCGGUAA
rnacentral:rRNA from 1 species